rnacentral:tRNA from 1 species
GUGACUGUGGCUUAGUGGUAGAGCCUUGCCUCACACUGGCAGAAGAUUUAUCCAAAAAAAAAAAAAAAGCAAGAAAACUAUCGUAGCACAAGAAAUAAUUUCAUAAUACAUAAGAGCCCAGAAGUAUGAGGCACUGGGUUUGACCCUCAGCACCACA